GAGGCGGAGCCGGGCGUGGCUGCCAGGCCCUUCUGCUCUCAAUCAGGCAGCCCAGGAGUUUGGAUUUCAUUCUGAGUGUGAUGGGAGGUCAUUGAAGGAUUUUAUGCAGGAACGAGCCCUGAUCCUAUUUACGUUUUUAACAGAUUAUUCUGCUGCUAUGUGGGGGAUGGAUUGUAGGAGAGCCAGGGUAAAAGCAGGAAGACCAGCUGGAGACAAUGGUGGAUUGGACCAAGGAGGAAGAGAAGGUGAGCAGAGCAAGGGAAAGCUGAAAAGACAUGAGCCUGGCUCCGCAUCCCUGGUUGUGAGUCUCCUGCGCUGCCCACGAAGAAUCCCAGACACCAGCUGCCUCAAACGCUGAUGUGAAAUUAACCAAGAAGGCGGAACGGCACAUGG